GGGGCACCAUUCCAAAAAGCGUACAGCUUCCCCAAGAGCAGCCACAGCCCCAAGAGGGCCCCCAGGAGGGCACCAUUCCAAAGAGCUACACUCCCAAGAGCAUCCCCAAGAGAGGCGCUAUACCAAGAAGUCCCAGCAUCCCCAAAAGCAGGCAAGGCGCCAUUCCCAAAAGUUGCAGCAUCCCUAAAUACAGCCACAGCCUCAAGAGGGCUCGAAGACCAGCACCGUUCCGAAGAGUGGCCACACUUCGAAGAACAUCCCCAAGUGCGGCGCCAUUUCAAAAACUCGCAGCAUCCCCAAAAGCAGCCACAGCCCCAAGAGCGGAGCCAUUCCAAAGAGCAUCCACACUCCAAAAAGCAUCCCCAAGAGUGGUGCCAUGCCAAAACGCCGAAGUGUCCUCAAGAGCAGCCACAGCCCCAAGAGGGCCCCCAAGAUCAGCACCAUUCCAAAAAGCCACAGCAACCACAGCACCAAGAGCACCCCAAAGAGUAGCCACCCUCCCAAGAGCACCACAAAGAGUGCCAGCAUUCCAAAAAGCUGCAGCUUCCCCACGAGCAGUCACAGCCCCAAGAGGGCCCUCAAGAGCAUCACCACUCCAAAGAGAGGUCACACUCCCAAGGGUAUCCCCAAGGGCAGCACCAUUCCAAAGAGAAUCGACACUCCCAAGAGGACCCCCAAGAGCAGUGCCAUUCCAAAGAGCGGUCACACUCGCAGAAGCAUCCCCAAGAGCGGCACAAUUCCAAAAAGUCGCAGCCUCCCCAAGAGCAGCCACAACACCAAGUAGGCCCGCAAAAGCAGCAGCAUUCCAAGGAGAGGCCACACACCCACGAGUAUCCCCAAGAGUGGCACCAUUCCAAAAAGUCGCAGGAUCCCAAAGAGCAUCCACAGCCCCAAGAGGGCCCUCAAGUGCAGCGCCACUCCAAAGAGCAGCCACAUUCCCAAGAGUAUUCCCAAGAGCGGCGCCAUUCCAAAGAGCGGCCAGACUCCAAAGAGCAUCCCCAACAGAGGCGCCAUUCCAAAAAUCCACAGCAGCCACAGUCCCAAGAGCACGCCCACGAGUAGCCACACUCCCCGGAGUGGCACCAUUCAAAAAAGUCCCAGCAUCCCCAAGAGCAGCCACAGCCCCAAGAUAUUCCCCAAGAGCGGCACCAUUCCAAAGAGAGGCCACACUCCCAAGAGCACCCCCAAGAGAGGCGCCAUUCCGGAAACUCUCAAAAUCCCCAAGAGCAGCCAAAGCCGCAGGAGGGCCCCCACAAGAGGUGCCAUCACAAAGAGCAGCCACCCUCCAAAGAGCGCACCCAGAAGAGGCUCCAUUCUAA
rnacentral:lncRNA from 1 species